UGUUGACUUCUUUGACCACCCACCUCAACCAAAACUGUCCAUCCUCAAGCGGGAGAAGAUGAACCUGAAUCAUCUUGCUAUUUAUCAGAGUUCUUGACAAUUUCAGUAGAUUCAUCAGCAGCUGAGAGAUCAACAAGAUUCUAAACAUUUUAGAUGUAUUGAGCUAGGUUUGCCACUUUGCCAUAGCAUGAAUAUCUUAGGGAGAAACCAGCUUGGUCAUCAGUCAGCUACCCUUCCACUAUUGGUGCUAUUCUACCCAUUAUAGUUCUCUCAUAUGGCUUGUAGGUUGAGCAAUGUAUGGAUGUUGGGUGUGCUCAGCUCUUUGCAGAGUUAAGGUUUUAUGUGAUUUAAGUAGUGCAGCCACUUGUCUGCUCCACAGCCUGAGUAUCUGCAUUGUCUCCAUGCAAGAAUUAAAGAAGACAAGCAGCCACUUCUAUAUUUCUUUGCCAAAGUAAUAAUAAUUAGACACACCAAUCAAGUCCAGUUGCCUUUCCACAUUUCAGUUUCAUGUAUGUGUUUUCUUACACAGGAGAACAAGUAUAUGAACUGAAACCUUAUUGCUUAAGGGUUUGACCCUUUUCUUGGUAACAUUUUAGUGCUGUUUCUAGCAGUGGAAACAUCACAUUCAUAAUUCUGGCUCUGUUCCAAAAUGUGAGUUCACAAAAUGAAACCCCUGAAGACUGAUGCUGGUUCUUUUGAGCAUGGACCUCUAUAACUAACGUAAUAAUAUAUAUUUAGACAAAUCUAGAAAAAUUGCUCUAGGAACUAAUGGAAAUUAUUUUUUCAGCCAGUAGAAAAGUUCUGGUCUUAAAAUAGUAUGCAGAUUUUGUCAUUUUGUUCUUCAGUGCCUUUGAGCACUAAAAAACUUUAUUCAUAGUGAAGAUCCUUCAGUCACCAUUUUCUUUUGCUGUCUAGUAUAUUUUAAAUGUUGCACACAAGUAAAAGUAGAAGCCGAAUGUGCAUACACAAACUUCCGCUUCAAAGAUCAGUGCAGUGGGGUGCUAGAGCAAAACCGAUUUUGCAGAGAAAGUCUGCAGUGGCUUUCCUGGGACAGAAGAGAGAGAAGGACCACACAUCUAGCAAGAAAUAAAAGCUGGAGAAUAUAUUCAGUGGAAUGAGGUUUGACGAGUCUGAAGUGCAGUAGGGCUGUGGCAGAGUAGCCUAGGAACUUGCUGAGGUGUGGACAGAACUAGUCAGUAGUGUGGGUUUCCUCAUAAUUGAACUCUACAUCUAGCAGCCACCUUUGCUCUUUAUAUUCAUGCUGUCAGCAUAGGUGUUGGAAGGGUUAAAAGUCCAAAGUUUAACUUAGUGAAUUACUAACUUUUACUUGCAAGAACAUAAUGUGAAGUGGGCAAAACCAUUCCAGUUACUUAGUGUGUCUUCCAAUUGCCUUGCAUUUUAGAAUAGUAUGCUGCUUAAUCGUUCCUUCAUUUAAGAUUUGUAAUAAGUUGUAUUAUAAUAUAUUUAAGUGUGUCCAUUUAAAAUUAUAUUUUCUAAAUAUAAUUGUUAGCUUAACAUUUGGGCAAAGGAGGAAAAUCCUUAACCCAGUGGUUCUCAAACUUUUGUACUAGUGACCCCUUUCACACAGCUAGCCUCUGAGCGCAACCCCCCUUAUAAAUUAAAAACACUUUUAAAAAAUACUUAACACUAGUAUAAAUGCUGGAGGUGAAGUGGGGUUUGGGGUGGAGGCUGACAGCACACCGAACCUCCCUUCCCCCUGUAAUAACCUCACGACCCCCAGUUGAGAACCACUAGCUUUUAGCCAUUUAUAGCAUUUACUGUAAUGCUUCAGAAUGAUUGCUUAAUUAAUCGGAAAGCCUAGUGAUAAGUAUUGCAUAAUACAGAAUUGGUUCUGAAAUAAGGAAAUAAUCACUCUGUAUUGCUUAUUGUGUCCCUGUCCACACACAGGGAAGAAUUCCAAAGUAAAUGAUCAAACUGCCUCUUUGUGCCAGCAGUUGUGUGGAAAGACAAAAGUCCUCUUCUACGUAAAGAUUUUUCUCAUGUAGUUGCUGUGUUAAAUCUGACAAGAAGAGUGGCCCUGGGAAAAAGCUAGGAGCAAUAUAGAACUGUUUCUGUUUUUUACCUCCAAAUACUUAAGACUGCUCUUUGUCUGUUUCAUUGGCCUUGGUUACCAUAAUCCAAAGCAAUGUCAUUAAAAUGUAGCUACGUGAGGCCAAAUUCUCUUCUGUUCUACUGGUCUACAGCAGAUUUUUGGUCUUCCUUGUUCAUUCAGAAGUUAGUGGCUGCAGUCAGUAUUAAGGAUGAAACUACAGACUGUUUCUAAAAGAUGAUAAUUUGAUAAUGACUUAUAAGGAAACUGAAGUUCCACUUGUCGACUGUUAACUUUGACCUCCUAGACUUGGUGCAUUGUGUCAUGUGUGAGUGAGUGAAUCUUGCCCACUUUCCUUUUAAGUCUUUAACGUCUUCAGAUGUUUGGUCACUCCCUUAUUAGUAAUGAGAAAACCUUUGUCAUUGGUUUUUGGUGGCCUAUAUAUGAUGGUAAUCUCAUCUGCUUUCCCAGUGUCUUUGAAAAUUGAAUUCAAUGGAAUCCUGUUGCCAAUCUUGACAGAGACCAAGGAUCAAUAGUGCACUUGAAGACCUGCUGAUGUCUCCUGGAAAUGUAAACUCUAAAUAGCAACAUUUCUACUAAUGCAUCCUAUUUUCCAUUUUAUUACUAUUAAGGACAUUUUUAUGAGAACAAAUUAUUGUAGGCUAAGUGUUCAUCUGUGUGUCCAUCGCCUGAAGUCAUAAUCAGGGAUCCUAUUUUUUUGUGAUUUAACCCCCUCCCCUGAAUUUUCUCUUAUAAAGCAUAAAAUCCAUGUUUUCCACACUUAAAAUGAACGUUGAAUUUUAGUUUCCUUAGGUCCACAAUAUAUAUACUGAUAUCAGUUGAACACAAUGUUUUAUUGAUAUAUUUACAAUUUUAAGGAAGUUCAAAGCCUGCCAGUGCCAUCAGUCAUUAUAAUAAAAUUAUAGAAUGAUCCAGACUCAGUACAUUGUUUGUUUUUUUUGCUGUUAUCGAUGGCCAUGCUGUUUUAGCCUCCUUGUUUUCGUUAGUUUUCAUUCAGUUUAGUGCUUUCCAUGUGUUCUACAGUUGUCUGCCUUCAAACAUAGUCUACAGAACAGCAUAUUACCAUCAACAUGAAAUUUGACCGCACCAAACUCAGUGACAUGGUCUUUAGGAGUGAUUUUAAAAAAUACUAUUCCUUUUAUCUUUUUUACAGUGCAAAUGUUUGUAAUAAAAAAUAAAAUAAAGUGAGCACUGUACACAUUGUAUUCUGUAUUGUAAUUGAAAUCAAUAUAUUUGAAAACUUAGAAAAACAUCAAAAUAUUUGUCUAACUUAAAUGAUUCUAUUGUUUAACAGUGCAAUUAAUUGUGACUGUUUUUAAUCUAGUUAAUUUGUUUUGGGUUGCUUGCAUGCAUUAACUGAGAUUAUUGGCAGCCCUAAUGUUUUUAUUUUUUCACAAAAA